rnacentral:rRNA from 1 species
UUGUGUCCCACGCUGCCGGUUCACCGCCCGUCGGUGUCUAACUGGCAUGCACGUGCGGACGUCCUGCCGGUGGCCCGAACCGGCGCGGGUCUCGCACCCGUCGUCCGGGGAAGGCCUAUCAUACCCGUCGCGGUGCUCUUAACCGAGUGUCUCGAUGGGCCGGCACGUUUACUUUGAACAAAUUAGAGUGCUUAAAGCAGGCAGCAUCCGCCUGAAUACCGAGUGCAUGGAAUAAUGGAAUAGGACCUCGGUUCUAUUUUGUUGGUUUUCGGAAUCCCCGAGGUAAUGAUCAAUAGGGACAGACGGGGGCAUUCGUAUUGCGACGUUAGAGGUGAAAUUCUUGGAUCGUCGCAAGACGGACCGAAGCGAAAGCAUUUGCCAAGAAUGUUUUCUCUGAUCAAGAACGAAAGUUAGAGGUUCGAAGGCGAUCAGAUACCGCCCUAGUUCUAACCAUAAACGAUGCCAGCCAGCAAUCCGCCGAAGUUCCUCCGAUGACUCGGCGGGCGGCUUCCGGGAAACCAAAGCUUUUGGGUUCCGGGGGAAGUAUGGUUGCAAAGCUGAAACUUAAAGGAAUUGACGGAAGGGCACCACCAGGAGUGGAGCCUGCGGCUUAAUUUGACUCAACACGGGAAACCUCACCAGGCCCGGACACCGGGAGGAUUGACAGAUUGAGAGCUCUUUCUUGAUUCGGUGGGUGGUGGUGCAUGGCCGUUCUUAGUUGGUGGAGCGAUUUGUCUGGUUAAUUCCGAUAACGAACGAGACUCUAGCCUGCUAACUAGUCGCUUCCGGUAUCCUUGUGCUACCGGCGACUCCUGAUCUUCUUAGAGGGACAGGCGGCUUCUAGCCGCACGAGAUUGAGCAAUAACAGGUCUGUGAUGCCCUUAGAUGUUCUGGGCCGCACGCGCGCUACACUGAAGGAAUCAGCGUGUCCUCCCUGGCCGAAAGGUCCGGGUAACCCGCUGAACCUCCUUCGUGCUAGGGAUUGGGGCUUGCAAUUGUUCCCCAUGAACGAGGAAUUCCCAGUAAGCGCGAGUCAUAAGCUCGCGUUGAUUACGUCCCUGCCCUUUGUACACACCGCCCGUCGCUACUACCGAUUGAAUGAUUUAGUGAGGUCUUCGGACCGGUGGGCGAGGGGGCUCGCCUCCUCGAUUCCACCGGGAAGAUGCCCAAACUUGAUCAUUUAGAGGAAGUAAAAGUCGUAAC